rnacentral:rRNA from 1 species
CUUCUGAGUCCCCUGGAACGGGGCGCCGGAGAGGGUGAGAGCCCCGUACAUGCGAAGCCCCUUCGACGAGUCGAGUAGUUUGGGAAUGCUGCUCUAAAUGGGAGGUAAAUUCCUUCUAAGGCUAAAUACCGGCCAGAGACCGAUAGCGCACAAGUAGAGUGAUCGAAAGAUGAAAAGCACUUUGGAAAGAGGGUUAAACAGUACGUGAAAUUGCUGAAAGGGAAGCGCCUGCGACCAGACUCGCUCAUUCUCGGGUGCACUCCGUCCUGGGCCAGCAUCGGUUUUGCUGGGGGGAUAAAAGCGGGGGGAACGUAGCUCCGGGGAGUGUUAUAGCAAUACCUCCGGUGGGACCGAGGACCGCGCUUUGCAAGGAUGCUGGCGUAAUGGUCGUCGGCGACCCGUCUUGAAACACGGACCAAGGAGUCGAACAUUUGUGCGAGUGUUUGGGUGGAAAACCCUCACGCGCAGUGAAGGCGAACGCAGGUGGGAGCCUGGCGCACCAUCGACCGAUCCUGAAGUUUUCGGAUGGAUUUGAGUAAGAGCACAGCUGUUCGGACCCGAAAAUGGUGAACUAUGCCUGAAUAGGGUGAAGCCAGAGGAAACUCUGGUGGAGGCUCGCAGCGGUUCUGACGUGCAAAUCGAUCGUCAAAUUUGGGCAUGGAAGACUAAUCGA